UCUCUUUAAUUGUAUAAAAUUGUCAAGCCUAUCUAAUCGGUAAAGCCGGUUCUGUGAUUAGUAGUAAAUUGCCAUAAUCUGAAAACAGGUGAAGCACCAUUAACUACAUGCCGUAGUUCACUGACAAGCUAGCCCAUAUAGCAUUCAUUAUCGCAUAAAUUUACAUUAAAGUUUUAUUGAAAAUGAAUGCAUGAUUUGUCAUUUUCAGAGUUCACCAGACUUCUCUGUGUUAUUUCCUGACCAUGCCGAAAAGCUAUUUGAAACUUGGGCAUUGCAUUUUCCAGACAGAAUCCUGCACUUCCCAGCCAAGAACCAGGAGCAUCAACAAAUCACCUCCAGAACCCCAUGAUGAUAUUCCAACUCUUGUCUACAAAAGUGGGAAGAAAAUCUUAAGUCUAUGUUGGGACCAACAUGGUUGCAUUCUUCUGAGAGGCUGAGGUGACAAAACCAUUCCCAUUUGUCCUUGGAUUGGAAGAUGGCGAUCUCUGCCAUCAAGCCUUCGUUGUUUUUGACAGACAGUCACUCCAGCAAUACACCCUCCUUGGUGAUGUUGACAUGUUUUAAACUUUUUUUUAUGUUUUGGACAUUAAUUUUACUAAGAAGUGCACAUCAGUGUGGGUGUUUUUGAAGACUGUUGUUUACAAACUCCCAAGAACGGAAUCCCUUUCUAUAAGAAGUCUGUGUAGUUAUUUGUCAUGCUAAGGUGAUAACUCAUGUUGAUCAUAUAUUGACUGUUUGUGCAACUUUGUGUUGAUCUUAUGUGUUACAUUAACCAUUUCUUAUUACACGGUUCUCUAAAAUGCUAGAUUCUGAUUGGCCAGUCGUGACAUUCUACUACUGCUCAAAACUAAAAACUCCAAUGCUGCAAAUCAUUUUGACAGGGACAGUUUUAUAUUACACAAAAAUUAAAUAUCAAUGUCUAUUAAUUACAUAUCCGACAUUAAAUUUAUAAAUGAUUAAAUGUGUUCGUGACAUUUGUCCUGAAGAAAAUGUUGGGGCUUUUUUCUGUGAUGACAUGCUGCCAAUACAUUAUCCCUUACU